GCGUCAUUAGCUCAGUUGGUUAGAGCAGCUGACUCUUAAUCAGCGGGUCCGGGGUUCGAGUCCCUGAUGACGCA
rfam:Nocardiopsis sp. JB363 genome assembly, contig: Scaffold71